GACUCAUCAAGAGUAGCAGAGGGAACGGCCCAAUGAAGCUACAGCAACCAUCUAUUAUAAGAUAAGGUGCUAAUUCCAACAGUUUAUAUGCUGUUAAGAUGAGGG
rfam:Dialister sp. CAG:588 genomic scaffold, scf55